UCAGAACAUUCUGCUUGAGUGGACGUCUUAGAGAGUGGGCCAGUAGUUUCCGAAGAAUGUGCGGACUUUCCCUGGAGCUCCAGUUUCCUCCCACAGUCCACAUAUAUGCAGGUCAUCAAUGACAGACAAUUUGAAGAACGUCUAGCGGGACCGGAGAAAAUCGCAUGGAAGGCAUUCAAGAAUGUUGAUGAAAAUUUUCUCGACAACUACAGAGCACCAAGCUACAUGCAGCUGGUUGACAAUAUGCUUCAAGAAUACAAAACCAUGAAGUGCAACAUGCAACUAAAAAUUCAUUUUGUACAUUCCAAUUCAGACUUCUUCCCUGUAAAUAUUGGCAUUGUUAAUGACGAGUAUGUGAAAGGUUUCACCAGGACAUUGAUCAUGGAGAAAUGGUAUCAGGGAAACAGAAAUCCAUCAGUGCUGGCUCAUUAUUGUUCAAUACUUAAGUGAGAAACUUUGGGCACGGAGUACAAAU